rnacentral:lncRNA from 1 species
GUUGAGAAGAGGAGGAAGAAUAAUGGGAGGAGACAGGACCUUUUUCAACUUGACAAAUAGGCUUUGGUAUCAGGAUGAUGCUGGCCUCAUAAAAUGAGUUAAGGAGGAUUCCCUCUUUUUCUAUUGAUUGGAAUAGUUUCAGAAGGAAUGGUACCAGCUCCUCCUUGUGCCUCUGGUAGAAUUCGGCUGUGAAUCCAUCUGGUCCUGGACUUUUUUUGGUUGGCUGGAAAGCAAUGGCGCCAUCUCGGC